CCGGUCAUCGGUAUCAUUAUUCAUUAUCAUAUUUUAUAUUAUAUCUACUGAGUUUGAAAACUUUUAGUAACAUUUUAACACGUUAAAAACUGCCCGUGAUGGAAUGAAACUCAGUGAAGCAAAUACCUAUCAAACUUAUUUAAUGACAAAUGCUGUCAAAUUAGUCAAGGUUUCAGAAUAUGCUCAAAAAUAAUUUCAGCGAUAAACUGUAUGUUAAGAGUGUUGGAUAUGUUGAAGAUAAUAUCUAUUAGAUUACGGUCAACAUGUAUGUAGUUAUACGAAAUGUGGAAAAAAUUUUUGACGAAAAGAUCCAGUUGAAAGUUUGCUGGCAAUGAAUUAUUUUGGAAGGAGAAUUAAUUAAAAGUGAUAUUUGGAAGAUGAUAAAGGUAAUUUGGGAAAACAAAGUUGUACCUAGAGAGUGGAACAUAGCAAUAUUAUCUCUAAUACUUAUAGAAGAGGAUAACACUAAACAAUUACAAAGGUAUUUCCUUAUUGGAUACUUGUUACAAGAUACUGUUGACACUCCUUUUGGAAAGAAUAACAUCAUAUGCUAAAGACAUCAUAGGAAAGCCACAAUUGUGGCUUUAUAAAGUGGAAGUCCAUUACCGACUACAUAUUUAUCUAAACAAACAAAUCUUAUAUUAUGUGGAUCGGCAUAUAAUGACAACCUAGGAAUAUACUAAAAAAUACACAAUAAAGAACUAUAUGACCUAUAUGAAAAAACCUAAUAUACUUACGUAUUAUAUAAGAUGUAAUUAUCUAGAGUGGCUGGUACAUUUGUAGAGAACUGAUGGAGAUGUAUUAAAAAAAGUCCUAAUAGGAAAAGUAAAUAAAAAAUGUCCACUUGGAAGGCCAACUACAAGACAGAAAGACACAGUAGAAAAAAAUAUAAGACUGGUAGAUUAGAGUGCAAAAUUAGUUAACCCUGGACAAACAAAAAUGAAGUGGCUUACAAGGGGCAGCGCAGGUCCUGAUUGGACCAUUGAACAGGUAAAUAAAUAAUAAGACAUUUUAAUAAUUAUUUACUAUAUAAGGUGAUUGUUUUAUCAUGAAUUACACAUUGUUUAAAAAUCUAUUAACGUUUGUAAGAUAUUUUUUUUUUCAUUAUUUUCAA